CUGUAAUGUUUUAUCAUGGUUCUUAGCUUCUUCACAUUGGGUUAGAACAUGCAACUUUAGCUCAGCAAAGUUUGUUAUUACCCAUCUUCUGAAGCCCAUUUCUGUCAAUUUGCUCAUUUCAGCCUCUGUCUUUUUCUGUGCCCUUGCUGGAGAGGUAUUUCAGUCAUUUGGAGGAGAAGAAACACUCUGGUUUUUUGGGUUCUCAGCAUUUUUUUGUUGAUUCUUUCUUAUCUUCAUGAGGUUGCCUAGCUUCAAUCUUUGAGGCUGCUGACCUUUGAAUGGGGUUUUUGUGGGGGCUUUUGUGUUGAUGCUGUUGUUGUUGCUGUUUGUUUGUUUUUCUUUUAACAGUCAGGCCCCUCUUCUGUAAGGCUGCUGCUGUUGGCUGGGGUUCCAUUCCAGGCCCUAUUUGCCUGGUCCUUCCCGCACUUGAAGGUGUCACGCAUGGAGGCUGCAGAACAGCACAGAUGGCUGCCUGCUCCUUCCUCUGGGAUCUCUGUCCACACAGAGCACUGACCUGAUGCCAGUGGAAACACUACUGUGUAAGGUUGUACAGAUCUAUGGAAAAGCCAAGCUGCCCUGACAGGGUAGCACAACCUCUCACUGCCUCCCUUGGCUGCCAGUAGGAGCUCCCCUUUCCCUCUGUGGAUCUCAGGCAAAAGAAGAUAAUGCUCUUUCUGGUGACCAAUCACUCAGUUGGAUAACUUGAGUUGACAUAUGGAUACCAUGCCAGAAAAGGACUCUAACUUCAGAAAUCAAAACCAACUGGGACUAUUAGGUGGCAAGAUAUAUUGCAUCCAAGCUGAGAACUUAAGAAAACUACCCAUAAUGACAUCACAAUUAUAUGUGUUGCUUCAAUUAUUAGUUUACUCAAUCACCAGUUCCCAGAAGAUAUUAUUGAAAGGGUUACAUUAUUGAAAUGCUAAACAAAGGUGGUACUUGGUACCAUAUGUACUUGAGAAAACAAAAUCUGACUGGUAGGAAAUUUUUAUGCGUGCCAUUCCUCUUUGAACUUGACAUUAGGUCUGUUUGUUACACAAGAAUAUAUCUGAGUCCUGUCUGAGAUAAAGGAUACUACUCUGAAGAUGCAAAGAAUAUGUGGACCUUAAGCUGGCCUUACAAUACUCUUUUCUUGUUUUAACGUAUUGCAAGUCAAAUUUAGCCUGACAUUUUAUCAGAUUGUUUAAUUUCAGGAAUAUGCAUCCAAUCAUUCUGAUGGCUCUUUCUUUAAAAUUCUCCAUGAUUUUUUCUUUUUUUUUUAAAUUAAGUUGGCAGAACAGAGAUCCAACCCUUAUUUUCAGUAAAAUCAAAGCAAUUGCUGAUUAGAAAAAAGGGAAGAAACAUUCAAACCUCAUGAUGAUAGAUGAUAUUACCAACCUUGAGCUUCAUAUAGUUACCCCCUAAGUUCCUUAGCAAUGGAUAGAUUGAAGCAUCCUUUAAAUCCCGUUCCCUUUUCUAGUUUGAGUAAUUGUUACAAUGAGAUUGCCUAGCGUAUUUGUCUCCAGAAGUCACAUGUACCAUAUCUUCAGGCAUCAAAACCUUGGUUUGCAUAUGCAAAAUGUCCCAAAUUUGAUAUAGUUCAGAAUCACAUACAAAAGUUAUGAGGCCCUAGUGUAAAACUUCUGGAAUGGUGGAAUGAAAAUCUUUAUAAAUCAGCUCCUCAUAAAGCAAUUAAAUUUCUGGCAACAUUGUCAAAAUCAAAAUUUUCACAACUCAGGAAAUUAAAAACAAAAUCAAUAGACACUGUCUCAGCAGGCAUCCAGAUGCUGGACUUAGUAUACAAGACUUUACAUUUGACUCUUAUAAAUAUGUUUGAAGAGCUAAGAAAACAUUGCCUAAAAUAUGACAAUGAUGUCUCACCAAAAAGAGAAUCCUGGUUAAGAGACAGAAAUUUGUAAAAGAACCAAAUAUGCAUUCUUGAAAAAUGAGGCAUUACCAAUCUUAUAAAAAUAAAAUGAAUUAUAACAAAAUAAUAUGACACAUCAAAAUCAUCACUAUCCAAAGACAAAUACAAAGAGAGGAUUUUGAAAGCAGCAAAAGUGGAGACUCAUCACAGACAAGAGAUCCUUAAUAUGAUUAGCAGGUAUUUAUAACCAGAAACCAUGAAGGCUGUAAGGAAGUGGGAAAACAUAUUUAAAAUGAAGAAAAAUUUUAAAAAUCAGGAAUUCUCUACUCAGCUAUUAUCCUUGGAAAAUGAAACAAAAUUAUCCUUGGAAAAUGAAACAGAAAUUAAGACAUUCCUGCCACUAACAGAUAUUCCCUACAGGAAAUACUAGUGGGAUCUCAUCAAGCCAACAUGAAAGUAUGCCUGAAUCCAAAUGAUAAAAUUAAGCAUAUCAGUGUGGCAGGCUGAAUAAUAGCCCCUAAAGAUAUCAAUUUCUUAACCCCUAGAACCUGUAAAUGUCGCUCUAUUUGACAAAAGGACUUUGCAAUGUGUUUAAAUAAAGAAUCUUGAGAUGGAAAAAGUAUACUAGAUUACUAGGUAGGCUCUAAUUAUAAUCACAAGUAUUUUUAUAAGAGGCUCUAAUUAUAAUCACAAGUAUUUUAUAAGGAAGACUCGACUACAUAGGCUGAGAAGGCAAUGCGAUGAUGGAAAACAGAUUGGAAUGAUGCGCUACGAAGACAAAGGAAGAGGCCACAAGCCAAGAAAUAGGGUGGGCCACUAGAAGCUGAAAAACUCAAGGAAAAAGAUUCUCACCUCAGAGCCACUAGAAAGAACUGGGCCUGCCAAGAAAUGUACUUUGGCCAGGGAAACUGACUUCAAGCUUCUGAUCUCCAGAAAUGGGAUAGAACAAAUGUAUGUUGUUUUAGGCCACCAACUUUGUGGCAAUUUCUUGCAGGUCAAUAUAGAUAAAUAUAAAGGAGAGUAAGUAUAAAUAUAUAUUUGUAACUCUUCUGUCCGAUUUAAAAGGUAGCUGUAUAAAGCAAUAACUAUAAAAACUCUGUUGGGUUCUACUGUAUAAAAUUGCAAUAUGUAUUACAGAAACAGCACUAAGGAAAUUGAAAGGAAUGGGGCUAUAUGGAAAAAAUUCUGUAUACUACUGAAAUUAAAUUAGUAAUAAAACUAGAUUUUUUUUUGUUAAGAUGCUAAUUGUAAUACCCAAGGCAACGACUAGGAAAAUAACUAAAAUAUACAGAAUUAAAGAAACAACAACAUAAUUAAAAUAGUAAACUAGAACAUACCUAGUUGACAUUCAAAAAUUCAGUAGUGUAGAAAUGGAGAAACAAAAAAGGCAGGACAUAUAGAAAACAAUCGGAAAAUAGAAGACAUGAGUCCUAAUUUAUCAGUAAUUAUAUUAAAUUAUCUCAUUGUUUCUUUUAUUCAUAUUUUUAAUUAUUAUCUUAGUGGCUGCCUUGAAUAUUAUAAUUAGUAUCUAUAUAUCACCACAUGAAGUAAAUCUAAAUUAAUGUUGACUGUACAAAAUACUCUUACUGUCCUAUCAGGUUUAAAAUACACAUAAAAAUAAAAUAUGUCACAAGAACACCACAGGUGAUGGUGAAAUGAAAUAAAAAUAUUUUAGUAUCUCAGUAUUGCCUGAGGUAAUAAAAGAAUAAAGUUUAGGUUUCCACUUGGGGAAACAUAAUGAUAUAAUUUCUGGGGUAUUUUUGAAAGAAAUUUUUUUAAAGUAUAAAUAAUCUGCAAAUAGAAAAGAUAAUGGAUUAGCAAAAAAAAAAUACUUCAUUAAUCUAAUAUGAGACAAGAAAGGAGACAAAAAGGGGAAUAAUGGGACAAAUAAAAAGUAAUAAAUGGUAGAUAUGUAACCAAAUAGAUCGAUGAUUACAUAACAUGUAUACGAACUAUUUUACUAAAAAGAAAAUCAUUAGACUACAUAAAGUAUAAAACUCAACAAUAUGAUGCUUACAAGAGACAUCAUUAAUUAAAAGGCAGAAAUGUUUUGAAAUAAAAUCUAUGGAAAAAGAACAAAACAUACCAUUCAAACACUGACCAAAAGACAAAACCGAUUUCAAGGUAAGAAAUAUUGCUAUAGAUUGAGAGCAAUGUCAUAACAAUAAAAUGAACAAGUCACCAAAAUAAUAUAUCAAUUCUAAAUUGCCACAUACCUCAUAAUAUAUCAAUUCUAAUAUAUCUAAUAUAUUGCCACAAGCCUCAUAACAAGCUUAUAAAUAUUUAAGCAAAAGUUACAACAUUAAAAAGUGACUUUAACAUAUUUCUCUUGGUAAACAUAAAAGCAUUUGCCUCAGUGUAUCAAAGCAACUAUACCAAGAACCAGCGUGAUUGAAAUAUGACAUCAAAAUUAGAGAUAAGGAGCUGAUAAAACUUGCUUAGAUUAUAUGAAAAUAUUGUGAAUACCUUUUAGGUUUAAGUAUAUUUUGCUUUGUUUUAAAGCCUGGAAUAGAGUUCAAGACACAGAGUCACUUAUAUUAGAUGCAGUGAUUUUACAAUCUCCCUGCGGGAGCUUAAUGCCUUGAUCAGCUACUUAUAAACAUGAGUAGAAUAAUCCAGGAAAUUAGUCGUGCUGUUAUUUUCUUAUUUGUAUUACUUUAUAUGAAGACUCAACACAGUACCUGGCAAAUAAAAAUUAUUAAAUAAAUGUUAUUUGCCUAUUUUUAUCUCAUUUACCCUUCACAAUCACACUAAGAUUUCUUAUGUUAAUUUUAAAAAUAAAGAAACUGAGUCACAUGGCAGAAAAUUAGCAAAAGUCACAUAGCUAGUGACCUGAAGCUGAGAUUCAAACCCAGGUUCUCUAACACACACACACACACAAACACUCUUAAUCAUAUGCUCUAUGGCCUCAUAAUUAUUAUUCCAAAAGCCAAAUGCUUAUUUUGUGAUGAUGACCAAGAGGAGAAUAGUUAAUAUACAUUAAAUGUUUAAAAUACUAUGUUUUUUCCUAUACAUACAUAUAUAUGAUAAAGGUUAAUUUAUAAAUUAGGCACAUUAAGAGAUUAACAAUUAACUAUGAUGAUUAUUUGACAUAUAUCUCAUUAUUAUAUCAUAUUAUUAUAAGCAAUAUUAAAUAGUUUCUACUUUUAUCUGUCAAUAGUACCAUUUGUCUCCUAAUCAAAUGACAUACAUAUUAGUAUUCACAUUAUAUAGUACUUUUUCCUCUUGAAGGCACAGAGAUUUCUGACUCGGUUUAAAAUCAUUUUAUCAUGUCUUAAAUCUGUUUAUUCUGAAAUAUUCAAUAUAUAAAUGAAAUAUAUAUGUUAUAAAAUAUAAUAAAAUGGUCAAAUAUGUUUCACCACUGUUAAAUUGAAAUAUGUUUGGCCUAAACCUACCUUCACACAUAUUUUAAGUUUGGCCUAAAGGUUUCUCUGUAGGUAGUGAACUGUGAACUUGAUGUAUAAACAGACUGUAACGCAACAUGAAAGUAUACUCUUCUAACAAAUAGCCAAGUCUCAGCUAAUCAUAGCAGCUAAGCCCCCAGCCAAUCAGAGGCUGAAGGCUAACGAAACAUUACCAUAUAAGACAAAUGCCGACUGUAACCAUUUAGAUUAUUUCUGUAUGUCACUACCUUUUCUCUGGAUAUAAAUAUAGCCUGCACAUGUGGUGGGUGGGAUGGAUCGUUAUAAACCAUUUUUGGUCAGGACUGCUGCCUGAUUCAUGAAUCAUUUCUUUGCUCAAAUAAACUUGGCUAAAUUUAAUUUGUCUAAAGUAUUUUUUUAACAACCACACAGCUUAUAAA
rnacentral:lncRNA from 10 species